GGGGCCGACCUGGUUUCGACGUGGGUAGCGAAGCAAUACAGGGCAUACCGAGGACCCGUCACCUCGUAAAUCAAUGGGACUUAAGUAACUGCGAACGACGAAACGUACGCACUGGCCGCUUAACACCGGCCUGCCUCGCACUAGCUCGCUGACGGGCUAGGGUCGCAAGACCGCGCGAGGUCAUUCACGUCAGCUAAUCCCCGGUGAGGUCACGACGCCGGGGCCGAAAAUUCAGUGACUCGCCGUAACGAAGCGUGUUCGUCCGCGUCGGUGCGGUUAAAGCAAAAGACUGGACUAAGUAUGUAGAACUGGUUGUAGAGUGCUUACGGACGCGGGUUCGAUUCCCGCCGGCUCCACCA
rfam:Burkholderia rhizoxinica HKI 454, complete genome